CAGCCAGGUCUUGGAAAGGAAGGCCAACAUGCCCUGGGCCGAUCAGACUCCAUCAUGUUGACUCCUGGGAGGCACAUUUUUGAGAAACAAUUAGGAACCAGGAAGCAUUCUGAGGAGGAAAGCCAGGAUGAAGAAGACUCAGAUAAAAAAGUCAUCCCACCAGGUCUGGAUGCAGUGUGACUGUAUCAGUCAGCUUUUGCUGGGUUAUGCCAAGUAACAAACAGCUAACAACGCAUUGCCAAUUAACUCAGCAAUUAGCUUUGCU
rnacentral:lncRNA from 1 species